GUGAAGAAUACCCGCAAGGGUUUGACGGUAACCUCAGAGGAAGCCCCGGCUAACUACGUGCCAGCAGCCGCGGUAAUACGUAGGGGGCAAACGUUACUCGGAAUUACUGGGCGUAAAGGGUGCGUAGGCGGCUGGGAAAGUCAAAGAUGAAAUCCCGUGGCUUAACUGCGGAACUGUCUUUGAAACUUCCCGGCUUGAGGAUAAUCGAAGAGAACGGAAUUCCCGGUGGAGCGGUGAAAUGCGUAGAUAUCGGGAGGAACACCUGAGGCGAAAGCGGUUCUCUAGACUACUCCUGACGCUGAGGCACGAAAGCUAGGGGAGCAAACGGGAUUAGAUACCCCGGUAGUCCUAGCCAUCAACGAUGGAUACUGGAUAUUCCUGCACUCAUGUGGGAGUGUCGAAGCUAACGCGUUAAGUAUCCCGCCUGGGGAGUACGGUCGCAAGAUUGAAACUCAAAGGAAUUGACGGGGGCCCGCACAAGCGGUGGAGCAUGUGGUUUAAUUCGACGCAACGCGAAGAACCUUACCUGGGCUUGAACUGUCGGUAUAGGG
rnacentral:rRNA from 1 species